rnacentral:rRNA from 1 species
AACGAACGCUGGCGGCAGGCCUAACACAUGCAAGUCGAGCGAGGUAGCGAUACCUAGCGGCGGACGGGUGAGUAACGCGUGGGAACGUACCCUUUGGUUCGGAAUAGCCCUGGGAAACUGGGAGUAAUACCGGAUACGGUCGAGAGACGAAAGAUUUAUCGCCGAAGGAUCGGCCCGCGUUGGAUUAGCUAGUUGGUGGGGUAAAGGCCUACCAAGGCGACGAUCCAUAGCUGGUCUGAGAGGAUGAUCAGCCACACUGGGACUGAGACACGGCCCAGACUCCUACGGGAGGCAGCAGUGGGGAAUAUUGGACAAUGGGCGAAAGCCUGAUCCAGCAAUGCCGCGUGAGUGAUGAAGGCCUUAGGGUUGUAAAGCUCUUUUACCCGAGAUGAUAAUGACAGUAUCGGGAGAAUAAGCUCCGGCUAACUCCGUG